rnacentral:lncRNA from 1 species
AUUUCAGAGUCUGCUGGAAAAUCAUAGAAUCAUAGAAUCAUUGAGGUUGGAAGAGACCCUUGGGAUCAUCAAGUCCAACCAUCUAUCUCCCCUACUCUACAAAGUCCUCCCCUACACCAUGUCCCUCAGCACUGCAUCUAAACGUCCCUUCAACACAUCCAGGGACGGUGACUCCACCACCUCCCUGGGCAGCCUGUUCCAAUGCCCGACCACUCUUUCAGUGAAAAAUUCUAUUGUUAAUUACCUGUGAGAAGAGACCAGCACCAACCUCUCUACAGUGUCCUUUCAAGUAGUUGUAGAGAGUGAUGAGGUCUCCCCUCAGCCUCCUCUUCCUCACACUAAACAGUCCCAGCUCCCUCAGCCGCUCCUCAUACGAUUUGUUUUCCAGCCCCCUCACCAGCUCCGUUGCCCUCCUCUGCACUCGCUCCAGCACCUCGAUAUCUCUCUUGGAUUGAGGUGCCCAAAACUGGACACAACACUCCAGGUGUGGCCUCCCCAGUGCUGAGUACAGGGGCACAAUCACCUCCCUAUUUCUGCUGGUCACACUAUUUUUGAUACAAGCCAGGAUGCCAUUGGCUUUCUUGCCCCCCUGGGCACACGGCCGGCUCAUAUUCAGCCGCUUGUCAAUUAGAACCCCCCCAAUUAGAACCCAAAUGUCUCCUGGGAGAGGAACCGGAUACAUCAACGCAAUGAACAGCCAGAAAAAAGGGACUUCAUGUCAUCGCCGAGUGGAGGUCUCAGCCCAGGGUUGGUGGUUUGGGUUGGGGCUGCAUCUUGCCACAUUGGGGCAACCUCUCGUCCCCUCAUCCCCUCGCAGAGCAAACAUGGUGACUUGGAUGCCUGCAGCUUUUGGGACCCACAAAACAAGCUUUAUGGGGUAUUUUUAACCACACGAUUACUUUUGCUUCGAUACGGUGAGGAUGACGUCAACCUCAAUGAUUCUCCUCCUGUUGUGCAAUGUGAAGGUAUCUCCGGUUCCUUGGCGCUGGGACUUCCCCUCUUCCUCUUCCCCCUUCCUCCUCAUCCUCCUGGGAAAACUGGCAGAGCGAGUCCUCUCAGGCUGAAACUGCCCCUUCCUCCCCAACAAGGUCAUCGUCAGAGCUUAACCACCGGCUUUGUCCCAGCUUUGCUGAUGAUCAGAAAUGAGUUUCUUCCCCGAUUAAAAGCAGAUUAUAGGAACUCAAGUUCCAUCCCACAGCUCAUGCUGCAGUUUCAAAGACUCACACCCGCUUCUCCAACAUCCAUCCUCGCCAUGGGUUAACCAUUCAGUCUGCCAGAAUGAGACCAUGGAUUUACUCUUUCUUCAAAUAAAUGGAGGAAUUUUUGCCUAUUUUUCUCCUUU